UGGGGUAUAUUGCACAAUGGGCGCAAGCCUGAUGCAGCAACGCCGCGUGAACGAUGAAGGUCUUCGGAUCGUAAAGUUCUGUUGCAGGGGAAGAUAAUGACGGUACCCUGUGAGGAAGCCCCGGCUAACUACGUGCCAGCAGCCGCGGUAAUACGUAGGGGGCUAGCGUUAUCCGGAUUUACUGGGCGUAAAGGGUGCGUAGGUGGUCUUUCAAGUCGGUGGUUAAAGGCUACGGCUCAACCGUAGUUAGCCUCCGAAACUGGAAGACUUGAGUGCAGGAGAGGAAAGUGUAAUUCCCCGUGUAGCUGUGAAAUGCGUAGAUAUUGCGAGGAACACCCGUAGCGAGGGCGGCUUUCUCGACUGCAACUGACACUGAGGCACGAAAGCGUGGGUAGCAAGCAGG
rnacentral:rRNA from 1 species